GGAGGGAGCUAGCGUUGUUCGGAAUCACUGGGCGUAAAGGGCGCGUAGGCGGCCGAGUAAGUCGUGUGUGAAAGACCGGGGGCUCAACUCCGUGUACUGCAUGCGAUACUGCCCCGGCUAGAGAAAGGUAGAGGCGAGUGGAAUUCCCGGUGUAGCGGUGGAAUGCGUAGAUAUCGGGAAGAACACCUGUGGCGAAGGCGGCUCGCUGGGCCUUUUCUGACGCUGAAGUGCGAAAGCGUGGGGAGCAAACAGGAUUAGAUACCCUGGUAGUCCACGCCGUAAACGAUGGGCACUAGGCGUUGGGAGGAUUGACCCUCUCAGUGCCGUAGCUAACGCGUUAAGUGCCCCGCCUGGGGAGUACGGCCGCAAGGCUG
rnacentral:rRNA from 1 species